GAUGAAGAACGCAGCGAAAUGCGAUAAGUAAUGUGAAUUGCAGAAUUCAGUGAAUCAUCGAAUCUUUGAACGCAUCUUGCGCUCCUUGGUAUUCUGAGGAGCAUGCCUGUUUGAGUGUCAUUAAAUUCUCAACUACACUGACUUUGAAUUGGUGUGGCUUGGAUUUGGGUGGGAAAAUUGUUGUGGGCUUUUUGUAUAGUCUGCUCCCCUGAAAUUGAUUAGCGGUACCUUUGUGGAACUGUCUACAGGUGUGAUAAUUAUCUACAUCCUAGACAUCUGCUGGAAUGCUGCUUUCUAAACCUUACUUGUAUUGACAAUCUUGACCUCAAAUCAGGUAGGACUACCCGCUGAACUUAAGCAUAUCAAUAAGCGGAGGA
rnacentral:misc_RNA from 1 species